UUCUUGUCUGCAGUUUGACUCCCAUCCUGAACUGAAAGAUGCUCCAGUCUUUUGUGCGAUCUCAUAUUUGAGUUCUAACUAAAGAAGUUCUGAGAAAAGAGCAGCACCACUUUUUUUUUGGUAACGAAAUGUUUUCCGCUCAGAACCAAAUGACAUUUGCUCCAGCCAACUGAGAGCAACUCGUUUUCUCCUGCCAAGUGACACUUCGUCUCAGAUCGACACUGGAUCCUGGUCAUGCUUUUACUGAUGCGAUCGGGUCAGCUCCAGGUCUAACCGUGAAUCCCCAGGUCUCAGAGUGCCUAGGCUCCCCCAAACGCAAGAGAAGAACAGGAUUUCUUCAAACCAUGAAGAAAAUCUGGUCCAAGAAACGCUUCCAGAAAACCGGACACUCAAACCGAACAUUUGGCCGGUUUACCCAUGUUGGGGUUUUUACGGUGCGCUGAUUUACGAGCACAGACACCCGAGUCUUACUGCUGGAAAUCCUCCACUCGACCAUAUAUGAUUAUGGACUGCUGUGAUACAGGUGCAUAGCAGAUAAUGAGAUAAUGACGAAUAAUGUAUCCUUGUCACCAAAAUGAGCUUCGCCAUGUUUACAGUUUCUCCAAGAACCAU